AACCGGGGGUCCCCAGAGCCAGCUCCCCCUGCCGCCUCCGCGCCGGAGGCCGUCGGGGCGAUGGCGCAAGACUCCGCUCCCCCCACCCCCCACAGCGACAACAGCCACGGUGACAAAAUGGCAGCCCGGCGCCCGGCAGUCGUGCCACAGGCGCGCAGGGCCUUGGCGGCUGCCCCCGCCCCCCCAAAACGCCACGGCGCCCUUCGGGCUCAGCUCCGGGCGGGCCUAGCAGUUAAAAAUCGUAGUAACAAAUAAAAGAGCCGGAGCUCGAAAUCAGCGAGAAGAGGCGAGAGGCCUGCCCGGCGCCCCCGCCGCCCGCCAGCGCCCCGCGCCGCAGGGAGCCCGGAGCCCACAUUCCGAGCCCCACGCUCCGAGCCCGCCGCGCCGUGGGGGAGGGGCGGGGCGGGCCGCGAGAGACCCGGGAAACAUGGCUGCUCGUCCUAUUUCGGCUUCGCGGCGUGGCCACCAGCCCCCGGAUCCGAGUUGGGAGAGGUUCUGAAGGUGGGUGUUUCCAAAAAUUGCUUUGAAGGUGGACUAGGCACUGGCCUUGGUGCAUAGCUUCCCAACGGGAGUACAUCAAAGGUGACCAUAGUGACAUUCAGCAAUGAGGUGCAUUACGCAGGGGCUGGCGUCUGGGCGCUGCGGGCCGGUCAGUACGCGCGGCAUCGGGGCUCCCAGGGCUGCCGGCUGCUGCGAAGAUGGAAGUGGACGCUGAAGGGGUCAGCUCCGGAGAGCCUGCCGGGAAGCAUCUGUCCAGCACCUGGCUGUCACGGCCUGGGAAGAAUAACAGAUUCCCCUCCCAUUCUACCUUCCAAAUUCCCCCCAAAUUCCUGUCUGGGCAAACGCCAGCCUGGAGGGUGGGCAUUCUGGGAAGUGUAGUCCCUGCUGCUCUGCAUUGCGGAGGAGGGGUGGGAGCGACGCUGGGGCAGCCUCCGUCUACCCAGCGCUGCCUGCUAGGGGCGUCUGCAGACCGUCCCGAGGCUGACCCGUCUGUCAGGCAAGUGGUCAGGAGGCCGCAGUUGAGCAGGAACGUUC